rnacentral:pre_miRNA from 1 species
GUCUCUUACGGGUAUUCUUGGGUAAAUAAUACAACAUCAGGCUGUUAUUGCUUGAGAAUACACGUAACGGCC